rnacentral:rRNA from 1 species
AACGAACGCUGGCGGCAUGCCUAACACAUGCAAGUCGAACGAGACCUUCGGGUCUAGGGGCGCACGGGGGCGUAACGCGUGGGAAGCUGACCUCAGGGUCGGAAUAACUACACGAAAGGGGUGAUAAUACCGGAUAAUGGCUUAGGACCAAAGAUUUCUUGCCUUUGGUUGGGCCCGCGUUGGAUUAGCUAGUGGGUAGGGUAAAAGCCUCCCAAGGCGACGAUCCAUAGCUGGUCUGAGAGGAUGAUCAGCCACACUGGGACUGAGACACGGCCCAGACUCCUACGGGAGGCAGCAGUGGGUAAUAUUGGACCAUGGGCGAAAGCCUGAUCCAGCACUGCCGCGUGAGUGAUGAAAGCCUUAGGGUUGUAAAGCUCUUUUACCCGGGCUGAUAAUGACAGUACCGGGAGAAUAAGCCCCGGCUAACUCCGUG